rnacentral:rRNA from 1 species
CCUACGGGCGGCUGCAGUCGGGAAUAUUGCACAAUGGGCGCAAGCCUGAUGCAGCCAUGCCGCGUGUGUGAAGAAGGCCUUCGGGUUGUAAAGCACUUUCAGCGGGGAGGAAGGCGGUGAGGUUAAUAACCUCAUCGAUUGACGUUACCCGCAGAAGAAGCACCGGCUAACUCCGUGCCAGCAGCCGCGGUAAUACGGAGGGUGUAAGCGUUAAUCGGAAUUACUGGGCGUAAAGCGCACGCAGGCGGUCUGCCAAGUCGGAUGUGAAAUCCCCGGGCUCAACCUGGGAACUGCAUUCGAAACUGGCAGGCUAGAGUCUUGUAGAGGGGGGUAGAAUUCCAGGUGUAGCGGUGAAGUGCGUAGAGAUCUGGAGGAAUACCGGUGGCGAAGGCGGCCCCCUGGACAAAGACUGACGCUCAGGUGCGAAAGCGUGGGGAGCAAACAGGAUUAGAUACCCGUGUAGUC